rnacentral:rRNA from 1 species
ACGGGUGAGUAACGCGUAGGUAACCUGCCUGGUAGCGGGGGAUAACUAUUGGAAACGAUAGCUAAUACCGCAUAACAGUAGAUAUCGCAUGAUAGUUGCUUGAAAGGUGCAAUUGCACCACUACCAGAUGGACCUGCGUUGUAUUAGCUAGUUGGUGAGGUAACGGCUCACCAAGGCAACGAUACAUAGCCGACCUGAGAGGGUGAUCGGCCACACUGGGACUGAGACACGGCCCAGACUCCUACGGGAGGCAGCAGUAGGGAAUCUUCGGCAAUGGACGGAAGUCUGACCGAGCAACGCCGCGUGAGUGAAGAAGGUUUUCGGAUCGUAAAGCUCUGUUGUAAGAGAAGAACGAGUGUGAGAGUGGAAAGUUCACACUGUGACGGUAUCUUACCAGAAAGGGACGGCUAACUACGUGCCAGCAGCCGCGGUAAUAC